UACGUAGGGCGCAAGCGUUGUCCGGAAUUAUUGGGCGUAAAGAGCUCGUAGGCGGCUUGUCGCGUCGGAUGUGAAAGCCCGGGGCUUAACUCCGGGUCUGCAUUCGAUACGGGCAGGCUAGAGUUCGGUAGGGGAGAUCGGAAUUCCUGGUGUAGCGGUGGAAUGCGCAGAUAUCAGGAGGAACACCGAUGGCGAAGGCAGAUCUCUGGGCCGUAACUGACGCUGAGGAGCGAAAGCAUGGGGAGCGAACAGG
rnacentral:rRNA from 1 species